CGGAGGGUGCAAGCGUUAAUCGGAAUUACUGGGCGUAAAGCGCGCGUAGGUGGCUUUAUAAGCCGGUUGUGAAAGCCCCGGGCUCAACCUGGGAACGGCAUCCGGAACUGUGAGGCUAGAGUACAGGAGAGGAAGGUAGAAUUCCCGGUGUAGCGGUGAAAUGCGUAGAGAUCGGGAGGAAUACCAGUGGCGAAGGCGGCCUUCUGGACUGAUACUGACACUGAGGUGCGAAAGCGUGGGUAGCAAACAGGAUU
rnacentral:rRNA from 1 species